ensembl:lncRNA
AUGGCAGUCACUCUCACUGAUGGAAUGUAAAUUAGAAUUUACUAGCAAAAAAUUCUGGGAAAUGUGCUCUUCAGAACUUGAACAAAUACUUGAACUUUUUCUUGUGGAACGCUUUUCUGGAGUUGCUGAGGAACCUCUACCUGGAGAAAGCUAUGAGUGUCUCUCAUCUUACAUAGCUGACACCCUGCAGCAGGUAGCAGACUACCUCCAGGUAGUCUUUCUUGCCUUGUGUAUUCAUGGAGGUAGGGGGUUGUACAUCCUUACCCGAGACAAAUACAGAGGUCGCCAUUCCUUAUGUCUUGGUCUCUUCAAUCUAUCAAGUUUCAGUUUCACGCAAGUUCAGCCAUAACGUUUGGUCUUUAUUUUUCCUCAGGAUCUCUUCAAGAGAACAGCUAUCACAGGACCCACCAAAGCUCCUCUGAAUGCCAUAGCACUUGGUGUGAUGGUAGAAAAAAGCACUUUUCCUCAUCUGAAAAACGGGACAACACUGGGCUGGGUAUGGUGGCUCAUGCCUGCAAUCCUAGCAAUUUGGGAAGCUGAGAUGGGCAGAUCACUUGAGGUCAAGAGAUCGAGACCAGCCAGGCCUACAUGGUGAAACCCCAUCUCUACUAGCAAUACAAGAAUUAGAUGGGCAUGGUGGCCUGCACCUGUAGUUUCAGCUAUUCAGGAGGCUGAGGCAGGAGAAUUGCUGGAACCCGGGAGGCCAAAGUUGCAGUAAGCUCAGAUCACACCACUACACACUCCAACCUAGGUGACACGAGACUCUGUCAAAAAAAAAAAAAAAAAAAAAACAAAAACCACAACAUAGAGUUUUGACAGUUCUCUCAGGAAUUAUCUCUCCUUUCAAAGCUGACACUUUCAUAGUGUGGGAGUGCUAAUGCUGGCAGAAACAGCUUGUCUCUCUGAGGCGGCUUAAAGCUCUCUCUAGGAAGUGGAGGCACAAAGAUCGACUGUAUUUUUCUCAACUUUGGGUCUAAGUCAAAAUCUGGAGAGAAAGAGUAUAAUUUGUUCAUUCCUAUGUAUGUAUGUGUAUAUUUAAGUGUGUAUAUAUAUUAAUUCUAUAUUAUAUUGUUAUAAUUAUGUAUAUGUAAUAUAUAUAAAACAUAUAUUAUUAAUCAUAUAAUACUUAACAUAUUGAUAUACACUCCCCAAUAUACAAUGGUUUGAUUCAGAAUUUCAUGGCUUUAUAAAAGCAGUAUGUACUUAGCAAAAAUCAUACUUUCAGUACCCAUAUGGCCAUUUUGUUUUUCGCCUUCCAUACAGUAGUUAAUAAACUACAUGAGAUAUUCAACACUUUAUUAUAAAAUAGUAUUUGUGUUGCACGAUGUUGCCCAACCAUAGGCUAAUGUAAGUGUUCUGAGCACAUUCAGGGUAGGUGAGGCUAGAGGGUAUUCAGCUGCUGAGGGGAGAGUUGUCCUUUUUGAUAGCACUAUUGAUGGUGUCUUCUAGAAGUACCAAAGUCUGCCUUCCCAGCACUUUCUUGCCUAAAAGUUGAAUUCUGAGGUUUCCUCAUUCUUGCUUUCCUUACUCCAUUCUUUUAGAACCACGGUGUCUUAGUGCCCAAAAUAAUUCAGCUCUGUAUUCCCAUAUCCGAGUUUCUGCCCGAUUGUUUAAGACUCUGAGAAUGCCAGUGAGUAUAACUUUGACUGGUUUUAAACAUUUUUUGUCUUCCUUUUUAUUUUCCAAACUUCCUUUAAGUGAAACUUUUGUUUUCCCUUUGACAUUUGUUAUUAAGUAGAGUUGAAUUGUUUUUGUUGUUUUAACAUUUCAAAUCUAUUUUUUAUUAUUUUUAAAUUUUGAGACAAAUAUUGUAGAACAAUAGGGAAGAAGAGUAGAACAUCAGUCAACUUCCUGUUUCUUAACUUCCAUUCCACUGGGGCAUGGUAUCGCAUUGACAAUCUUUCUUUUUACUAAUUCUGCCAGGUUUCAUUUCUGCUUUGUUUCUUCUUUUUAAAAAAUUAUUCCUUAUAUGUUUUCCUUUUCAUUGUCCGCCAUUGACCUUAGCCUUUUGUCUCAUUUCUGAGUACAUACUUUCUUAUAUUUUAGUGAGAGACGGGAUAAUUUCUAAGGUGCAAUACUAGAACAAAUCUAAUUUUAAAAGGAGUCAUGACCUCUUUAUAUUGAAAGUGGUAAGUUCGGCCUUGCUAAUGCUACGAAUGGCUUCACAUGUUCCCACUGAGAUAUUUUAUGAUCUCUCUGCCUUGUCUGUGCAGAGGUUUCUCCAGGGCUUGUGUCUAAAAAUGGUGGUUUUGGAAGAAGUCAAAUGAUUCUUCUUCAUUUCUUCUACUGACCACAUUAUUGAACACAAAUUUGUUUUUUUUCUGAUUGUAGGCUUGAGGGAUGACUAGUGUAAAUUUAUAGUAGUAUUUCAGUAACUUGGCACCUUGAAGUGAAUGAGCAGGGAAGUGCAGCCACCCAUGGAACUGGGGUAUUGGUUCUUAGGGAGCUGAAGCAGGUGCCCUGAGGACUACCAUUUUAUGUUCAUUCUUCCCAUGAUGGAAGCAAUGGGUAUAGUCACUGCUAUGGAUAUGGUCCUUCUGGCUUUCUCUCUGGCACUGCUGCCUGUCACAUUUGGGACAAGAAAUAGCAAUGUUGCUAAAUUUCUGAGUGCUCUAUUUUGUAUGUCCGAAUUUCCAAUAACUUACAUAAUUGGAUGCAUCCAUUAUUUCUGUGGUCUGCCCUCAUUCUAGUCAAUCUAUAGGAUUGUUGAACAGUGUCAGAAUCAUCCUCACUUAGUUCUGAAGAUUCUAACCUGUCUUGAAUAUUUGAACAAUCACUAUCAGAAAUUUAAAAGGAAAAAGAAAAAUUAAGAUGAGAAUAUGUAAAGGAAGGCUCAGGGAUUCUGGGUUGAAAUGCAGUCUCUUGCAUUUUUUUAUCGGUGUAAGUUUAGGCAUAUUUCUUAAUGCUUCUGUACUUUAGUUUUCUUAUGUUUAAUGGGAAUAAUGUGAAUGCACUUUAUAGAGUUAUUUUGAUGACUAAGUUGAUG